rnacentral:rRNA from 1 species
GAUGAACGCUGGCGGCGUGCUUAACACAUGCAAGUCGAACGGAAAGGCUCCUGCUUGCAGGGGUACUCGAGUGGCGAACGGGUGAGUAACACGUGGGUGAUCUGCCCUGCACUUCGGGAUAAGCCUGGGAAACUGGGUCUAAUACCGGAUAGGACCAUCGUUUAGUGUCGGUGGUGGAAAGUUUUUUCGGUGUGGGAUGAGCUCGCGGCCUAUCAGCUUGUUGGUGGGGUAAUGGCCUACCAAGGCGUCGACGGGUAGCCGGCCUGAGAGGGUGUACGGCCACAUUGGGACUGAGAUACGGCCCAGACUCCUACGGGAGGCAGCAGUGGGGAAUAUUGCACAAUGGGCGCAAGCCUGAUGCAGCGACGCCGCGUGGGGGAUGACGGCCUUCGGGUUGUAAACUCCUUUCGCCAGGGACGAAGCGAAAGUGACGGUACCUGGAUAAGAAGCACCGGCUAACUACG